AACUUUCAACAACGGAUCUCUUGGCUCUCGCAUCGAUGAAGAACGCAGCGAAAUGCGAUAAGUAAUGUGAAUUGCAGAAUUCAGUGAAUCAUCGAAUCUUUGAACGCACCUUGCGCCCUUUGGUAUUCCGAAGGGCAUGCCUGUUUGAGUGUCUU
rnacentral:rRNA from 1 species